CUGCUAUCUACUCCAGUACAGUGCUUCUCCAAAAGAAGCAUUGGAUUGGAGAUAUGCAUGCACCGCAAAAUGCCAUGCUCCUCCAAUCAAAUGAUGCUAUCUGGACCAUUUAAUUCCAGGAUUGAGAUUGACUCCUCUAGUGGUGUCAGGGAGACAAGAUUACAAUGUUUUACAUUGCAGGGUUAAAAUGACAGGAUCACUCCACCUGUUAAUGUUCCUCUUUCUAUGUUGAAGUCAUUAAAUUGAUAAUCAUUUAAUCUGAUUCUUCUUUUGAUGGUAAAAUUCAAUGAUACCUGAUAACUGGUUUAAGUGCAGUAAGUCAAUGUAAUGAAC